ensembl:lncRNA
AAAAUAAUAAACAGACGACAUAUUUAACAAUAAUAAUAACACAAUCAUUGAGAAAACAUCUGAAGCAGUUCCUGAGAAGAGAGAAAAGAAGAAAAGUUAUUAACAUGUUAAUGUUGUUAGUGUGUCUGUGUGUACAUCUAAUUGUUAGUGUGUAUGUGUGUACAUCGAAUUGUUAGUGUGUCUGUGUGAACAUCGAAUUGUCAGUGUGUCUGUGUGUAGAUCUAAAUAUUAAUAUGUCUUUGUGUACAUCUAAAUAUUAGUGUGUGUCUUUGUUUAGAACCAGAUGUUAGUGUGUCUGUGUGUACAUCUAAAUAUUAAUGUGUCUUUGUGUACAUCUAAAUGUUAGUGUGUCUGUGUGUACAUCUAAAUAUUAAUAUGUCUUUGUGUACAUCUAAAUAUUAGUGUGUGUCUUUGUUUAGAACCAGAUGUUAGUGUGUCUGUGUGUACAUCUACAUAUUGUUGUGUCUGUGUGUACAUCUAAAUAUUAAUGUGUCUUUGUGUACAUCUAAAUGUUAGUGUGUCUGUGUGUACAUCUACAUAUUAAUGUGUAUUUGUGUACAUCUAAAUGUUAGUAAGUGUCUUUGUUUAGAACCAAAUGUUAGUGUGUAUGUGUGUACAUCUAAUUGUUAGUGUGUCUGUGUGAAUAUCGAAUUGUUAGUGUGUCUGUGUGUACAACUAAUUGUUAGUGUGUCUGUGUGUACAUCAAAAUAUUAAUGUGUCUUUGUGUACAUCUAAAUGUUAGUGUGUGUCUUUUUUAGAACCAAAUGUUAGUGUGUCUCUGAGUACAUCUGUGUGUAUCUGUGUGUGUGUGAGUGUGGGUGUGUGUGUGUGUCAUGCGUAGAUCUGGAUUUGCUCCUGAGGGGUUGACAUGACGUCCUGAUGGCGUCCUGAUGGCGUCCUGAUGGCGUCCCGUUGACGUGGCGUCCUGAUGGCGUCCUGUUGGUCUGCAGACAAGGAGAAGAGACGUGAGGAGGAUCAUCAGGAUGUGUCUGUGUGUACAUCUAAUUGUUAGUGGAUCUGUGUGUACAUCUAAAUAUUAAUGUGUCUUUGUGCAGAACCAGAUGUUUGUGUGUUUUUGUGUACUUCUGAAUACUAAUGUGUCUGUGUGUACAUCUAAAUGUUAGUGUGUCUGUGUGUACAUCUAAUUGUUAUUGUGUCUUUGUGUACAUCUAAAUAUUAGUGUGUGUCUUUGUUUAGAACCAAAUGUUAAUGUGUCUGUGUGUACAUCUAAAUGUUAAUGUGUCUGUGUGUACAUCCUAAUGUUAGAGCGUGUCUGUGUUUAGAACCAAAUGUUAGUGUGUAUGUGUGCACAUCU